rnacentral:rRNA from 1 species
AACGAACGCUGGCGGCGUGCCUAACACAUGCAAGUCGAACGGAAUUGAGGGGCUUGCUCUUCAAUUUAGUGGCGCACGGGUGAGUAACGCGUGGAUAAUCUGCCUGACGAUCUGGGAUAACAUCUCGAAAGGGGUGCCAAUACCGGAUAAGCCCACGGGAACUUCGGUUUUUGCGGGAAAAGGGGGGGGACCUUUUGGCCUUCUGUCGUCAGAUGAGUCCGCGUACCAUUAGCUAGUUGGUAGGGUAAAGGCCUACCAAGGCUACGAUGGUUAGCUGGUUUGAGAGAAUGAUCAGCCACACUGGAACUGAGACACGGUCCAGACUCCUACGGGAGGCAGCAGUGGGGAAUUUUGCGCAAUGGGCGAAAGCCUGACGUAGCAACGCCGCGUGAGUGAUGAAGGCUUUCGGGUCGUAAAGCUCUGUCAGAGGGAAAGAAGUGUAUUGUGGCUAAUAUCCGCGAUACUUGACGGUACCCUCAAAGGAAGCACCGGCUAACUCCGUGCCAGCAGCCGCAGUAAAAC